rfam:Trachymyrmex cornetzi contig14945, whole genome shotgun sequence.
GGGAUUGUAGCUCAGCUGGUUAGAGCGCACGCUUGAUAAGCGUGAGGUCGUUGGUUCAAGUCCAAUCAGUCCCA